GUUUACCGUAGCUUACAUACCAAAGCA
rnacentral:tRNA from 1 species